AUCUUUGAGCACAGAGCUGGAAAAAAGCAACAAAACAGACUUUUUAACAUCGUAAACCAACAGGCUGUUAUGUCUCUCGCUCGCUGUGAAAAUGGGGGACACCUCCCUCUCCCUUAUUAGGGAGAGAGAGAACCCGUGGGUUGCUGAAUGCUGGAUGAGUUGCGAUAGUCUUUGGGGUGACUGCCAGCAUUGUCCACCAGAGUGAAAUCUCACUGCUCUGAUCAUCUCAUCCCAGCCAGGCAGCCUGACUUUAUGGGAUGCCAUCUUCCUGGAUCUGGGGUAUCAGCGUACAAUAGGUGGAAGGAGGAGCUCAGUGCCGGGUCGUUGGUUGCCUGGUGGUUGAGGGAAGUGUGGAAUAGGGAGACCACCUUCCUCUUCCAAUACUUCUGCAGGGGAUUGCUGGCUUUAGGCCUGGGUAGGGCAGGUUAGCAAUGGUCAUAUUGAGUUUAGUAUUGUCCCAUGCAGUAACGUACAAUGAAGAGCUUGUCUUGCACACUGUGUGUACAGAUCAAGUCAUUACACGGUGCACUGAGCUAGAACAAGGUAAAACAAUGCAGAAUAAAGUGUAACAGCUACAGAGAAAAUGCAGCGCAGGCAGCCGCUAAAGUGCGAGAUCUUAGAGAUGGAUGGUGAGACCACUCCUCUUAUGUUAACACUUUAAUUCCCAGGAUCAUUCCCAUGAACCUCCUCUGGACUCUCUCCAAUGCCGACAUCUCCUUUAGAUAUGAGGCCCAAAACUGCUCAUGCGGUUUGACUAACGGCUUCUAAAGUCUCAGCAUUAUAUUCUCAUCGUUUUGAAAUGAAUGCUGGCAUUGCAUUUGCCUUCCUCGUCACAGACUCAACCUGCCAGUUAACCUUUGAUUCCUGAGUUUGUUCCCAGUUUGCCGUUUCUUCCUUCUACGUUUUGCCCAAGGAGACUUCGGGCCAGGUGGGGGUGGUGGAGGGCAAGAAUGAGCUGCAAAUCUUAUGGACGGCACGGUAGCACAGCGGUUAGCAGAAUGCUUUAGCACGCCAGUGAUCGGAGUUCAAUUCCUGCCACUGUCUGUCAGGAGUUUGUACGUUGUGCCCGUGACUAUCUGGGUUUCCUCCCACAUUCCAAAGACAUACUGUUAGAGUUAAUAAGUUGUGAGCUUGCGUUGCUGACCCCGGAAGCACAGCAAUACUUGCAGGCUGCACUCCGUACAUCCUUGGAGUUACUGAGUAUGCCCUUGACACAGAAGUGACACAUUGCACUGCAUGUUUCAGCAUUUUGCAAUGCAAAUAGAGCUCAUCUUUAUCUUCAGUUUUUUUUCUUAAAUGUUCAUCAAAGUUCAGGUCAGGCAGGGUCAGUCUGCACCAGUAGGAAAUGUAAGUGAAGAAAUAAUGGGAAGUGAAGGAAUGGGGACCUUGUGUUCUCAUUUAUACUGCAAACUCGUUUAAGCAGGACAGGUAACAUCUAUGGAAAUGAAAAAACAGUUGACAUUUCAGACUGACACCCUUCAUCAGGACUGGAAAGAAGGGAGAAUAAGAAGGUGGGGGGGGGGGAGUAAAAACUAGAAGGUCAUGGGUCAAAUCAGGUGGGUGGGGAAGGAAAGGUGAAAGGGGAAUUAGAGUGGUGAAUGGGAGAAGGAAGGGGGGAAAAUUACUGGAAGUUAGACCCCUUCCCCUUUCCGUUUCUUCCAUUUACCAUUCUGGUUUCCCUCUCACCCCUCCUCUCCUCCUCAUCUGCCCAUCACCUCGCCCUGGGUCCCCUCCUCCUUCCCUUUGUCCCACGAUCCACGCUCCUCUCCUAUCAGAUUCCUCCUUCUUCAGCCCUUCUUCAUUUCUUCACCUAUCACCUCCCUGCUUCUUACUCCUUACCACCUUCCCCCACCCAUUGUUCUGGCUUUCUCCCCCCCUCCUUUCCAGUCCUGUUGAAGGGUCUCGGUCAGAAACAGCGAUGGUUUAUUCCUCUCCAGAGAUGCUGACUGACCGCUGGGUCCCCGCAGCAAUUUGUGUGUGUGUUGCUCAGGAUUUCCAGCAUCUGUACAAUCUCUUGUGUCUACAAUGGUUAGAGUGUAAAAUUGUUAUUUUUCUCACAUGCUUGCUUAUAUUUUUAUACAAUCAAAUGCCUGUAUAUACAUGUAAUUAUCCAGGAAUUAUAGCUUAGCUGAUUCUGUACUUUUCUAGAAGCUGCUUAGUUUUGUGCAACAGGCAUCCCAGCACUCGAAUCUGGUGGUUGUUUUCACUGGAAUGCUUUGAUAUCUUAGUUUUUCCAAUAAGACGACCUCGCCUUCUUUGUCUUUUCUUUAUCUCGUUAUUCAUUCUUGUUACACAUAAUAAAACAGCUGUAACCAGUAA